rfam:Microgenomates bacterium GW2011_GWC1_39_7b TT58_C0016, whole genome shotgun sequence.
GGGCCAGUGGUGAAAUCGGCAUACGCGCGACACUUAAAAUGUCGUCCUGACAACAGGGUGGGGGUUCGAGUCCCCCCUGGCCCA